GUCAUGGAUCGCUUGAUUGGAUCUUGGAUUCCUCUGCCGGAGCUAGGUCUUGGCAGACGCUGGCUAGUUGAGGGUCAGUAGAUUCAAUACAUUGCAUUAUGGAUUGGAUUAGAUGACACCUUCUGGAGGCAACCGAUCGAGUACUUGGACUUUCUCUUCUUCACUGUGAUUGAGGUCUCGGUUGAAGUGGAGAAGAAUUCCAGCAGGGAGGUCUUGUUGUGGUGUUCUUGAUCUAGUAGCUCAGUUUGGUUCCGGCAGCAUCUAUCCAGAUUGAGGUGUUGUUGAUGCUGGAAUUGUGGUCGUAAGGUGAUUUUCAACAGCAUCACCUGUGGCUUUAGAUCGUGAGGACUCUGAUUCGAGACGAGC